GGUGGCAGCGGCCGCGGAGGUGGCGCCGGGGACUGUUUUCUCUCGGAGGCCGGAGUGGAGCCGCGUCUGACUGGGGCGGGCGUCCAGCGGCCCCCUCGCUCCCGUCCUCCCUCCCUCCUCCGCACCCUCGCCGCCGCCGCCGCCAGCCACCAACUGCCAGCCGCCGCCCCCGGGAGGAGCCGCGGCCCACGGGGCUGGAGCCAGGCCUGCGUCCGGUCAUCAGUGGGAGUCGGAGCGAGAGCCGGGGCCUCGGCGUCCCCGCCCUCUCCCCGCCUCAGGGCCAGCGUCCGUCGGGCCCCCGCGCGUCGCGCCAUGGACUCAGACGAGGGCUACAACUACGAGUUCGACGAGGACGAGGAGUGCAGCGAGGAGGACAGCGGCGCCGAGGAAGAGGAGGACGAGGACGAGGACGAGCCGGACGAUGAUAACCUGGAUCUGGGCGAGGUGGAGCUCGUGGAGCCCGGGCUGGGCGUCGGCGGGGAGCGGGACGGACUGCUGUGCGGGGAGACGGGCGGCGGCGGCGGCAGCGCUCUGGGGCCCGGAGGCGGCGGCGGCGGCGGCGGCGGCGGCGGCGGCGGCGGGCCGGGGCACGAGCAGGAGGAGGAUUACCGCUACGAGGUGCUCACGGCCGAGCAGAUCCUGCAACACAUGGUGGAAUGUAUCCGGGAGGUCAACGAGGUCAUCCAGAAUCCAGCAACUAUUACAAGAAUACUCCUUAGCCACUUCAAUUGGGAUAAAGAGAAACUAAUGGAAAGGUACUUUGAUGGAAACCUGGAGAAGCUCUUUGCUGAAUGUCAUGUAAUUAAUCCAAGUAAAAAGUCUCGAACACGCCAGAUGAAUACAAGGUCAUCAGCACAGGAUAUGCCUUGUCAGAUCUGCUACUUGAACUACCCUAACUCGUAUUUCACUGGCCUUGAAUGUGGACAUAAGUUUUGUAUGCAGUGCUGGAGUGAAUAUUUAACUACCAAAAUAAUGGAGGAAGGCAUGGGACAGACUAUUUCGUGUCCUGCUCAUGGUUGUGAUAUCUUAGUGGAUGACAACACAGUUAUGCGCUUGAUCACAGAUUCAAAAGUUAAAUUAAAGUAUCAGCAUUUAAUAACAAAUAGUUUUGUAGAGUGCAAUCGACUGUUAAAGUGGUGUCCUGCCCCAGAUUGCCACCAUGUUGUUAAAGUCCAAUAUCCUGAUGCUAAACCUGUUCGCUGCAAAUGUGGGCGCCAGUUUUGCUUUAAUUGUGGAGAAAAUUGGCAUGAUCCUGUCAAAUGUAAGUGGUUGAAGAAGUGGAUUAAAAAGUGUGAUGAUGACAGUGAAACCUCUAAUUGGAUUGCAGCCAAUACAAAGGAGUGUCCCAAAUGCCAUGUCACAAUUGAGAAGGAUGGCGGUUGUAAUCACAUGGUCUGUCGUAACCAGAACUGUAAAGCAGAGUUUUGCUGGGUGUGUCUUGGCCCAUGGGAACCACAUGGAUCUGCCUGGUACAACUGUAACCGCUAUAAUGAGGAUGAUGCAAAGGCAGCAAGAGAUGCACAGGAGCGAUCUAGGGCAGCCCUGCAGAGGUACCUGUUCUACUGUAAUCGCUAUAUGAACCACAUGCAGAGUCUACGCUUUGAGCACAAACUAUAUGCUCAGGUAAAGCAGAAGAUGGAGGAGAUGCAACAGCACAACAUGUCGUGGAUUGAGGUGCAGUUCCUGAAGAAAGCAGUUGAUGUCCUCUGCCAGUGUCGUGCCACACUCAUGUACACUUAUGUCUUCGCUUUCUACCUCAAAAAGAAUAACCAGUCCAUUAUCUUUGAGAAUAACCAAGCAGAUCUAGAGAAUGCCACAGAGGUGCUUUCGGGCUACCUUGAACGAGACAUUUCCCAAGAUUCUCUGCAAGAUAUAAAGCAGAAAGUACAAGAUAAGUACAGCUUUAUCUACUUAGUUGCCCUGCCAGGAAGAAAGAACGUAAAAAAAGGCAAGUGACCAUUAGUAUGAGGGGCGAAAUUAGGAUGCUGGUCCUCACCUUGGGAUCUUUGUGGAGCAUGGCUAUUGACAAAUACUGUGAGAGUCGACGAAGGGUUUUGUUACAGCAUGUGCAUGAAGGCUAUGAAAAAGAUCUGUGGGAAUACAUUGAGGACUGAGAAGGGCCCUGCAUAAAAUGAACUCUGAAAACUUUACCAUCUAGAGUGCUCCUGCAAUUAAACAAAACAAAACAAACACAAGCAAGGAGGCACUAAGCCUCUUCUGACACCUCUGGUCUGUAGUACCAGAAUUCUGUUUUGUUAAAGGAAAGUUUAAGUAAAUUAUAUUGUAAUAAAAAAGGUAGAUAAACCAUUGUACAACAGUAUUCUAGGCCACCAACAGAAGUGUGUGACAGACACACUAAAAGCCCUCCAACUUAACUUGUAACGUAGCUUCAUUCUCAAAGCUGACUCCUUUUAUUCUUUUUCUUUCUCCUGAGUGUAGUACAGUUAAAAUUUAAAACAGCUCUUUGACACUGCUUUUCAUGUCCAAACCAGCCAUUUUGUUGUACUUUGGUAAAUGCCCUCUUCCCUUUCUUCCUCUACGCUUACAAAUUCACCCAACACACACAGACUGACUCUUUCUCUCAUACCCCAAGGUCAUGAGUGAAUGAUGAUUAGUUCCUUGUAAAGAAAAUUCUUGGGAUGGGGAAGGGGGUAGGCAGCAAGAGGAAUUAAAAACAAAAAACAAAAAAAACUUUAUAUAUGACUUUUAAAACAAGAGGACAACACAGUAUUUUUCAAAAUUGUAUAUAGCGCAUAUGCAUGGACAAAGCAAGCGUGGCACGUGUUUGCAUAAUGUUUAAUUACAAAAAAAUAUUUAUUCUUUAAAAAUCUUCAAGAUUAUGUCUAUUUGCUGUGCAUUUUCUUUCAGUUUGCUUUAUCUUUCCAGAGUUGAAGGUUAGGAUAAAAGGCGUGUGUUGAUGCAGCGCCUCUGGAAGACCUAACUAGAGCUCCUUGAUCUCCCUUUCCCGACAUUACUUUGCCCUUUCUGGUUUUGAUAUGUCUGUUGCUGGCCAUGGGCCUCUUGCCUUCAAUUCCCAGCUCUUGAUCAGGGACAGGGAGGUCAAGCUCUGACUCAAAUGCCAUGGCCUGAUUAGAGCUGCAACAGGGAUUCUUUUGCUGCAGUUCAAGAAUGACCCUGUCCCUAGCCUCAUCCCCCUCUGUGGCCUCAUGUGUUUGCCUAAGCCUCUGUGUGCCCAUCCAUGCUCACAGCCGAAGGCUUCCUAGGCUCCCUGUCAUACCCGGAGGAAACAUUUCAAAUUUUUUUCCCCUUAAUUGCUGCUUUGAGCCUUUUAAGAUUUUAGUUAUGGCUCUUCUCUCACCCCUUAUGUUAGGGUGUCAAAUAGAAUGUUUUUGCUUUAAAUAUAAAUAUAAAUAAAUAGCCAUUCACUUAGUUUUGGAUUGUAAAUGUAAAAUGGCAGAUACUGAAGUUGCGUGUGUGUGUGUUGCUGUGGGUUCAGUUUGAAGGCAAACACCCCCAGAAAUGAUAUUCCCAUCUAGUGCAUUCAGAUAGAAAUCACUGAGCUUCUUUUCUAUUGUCAGCAGAUAGAAUUAAUAAGCAUUUUUAGAUGUGAUGCCCAUUUUUAUGAAUUUCUACUAAGAGCUAUGUUAAAAGUAAAGGAUGGUGGUGGUUUUAUUAACUAUGUACCUGUUUAGGCCAUUCUGGCUGUGGUAUUUUUCAACAGGUCAGCAUCCCUAAAUCUGUCAGUUUUAUACAGGAGUGCAGAGUGAACUAGGCAACUAGAUUAAGAGGUCUUAAUAUUAAAUACCAGUUUGGGGACCUCUUUGUCUUCCUUUAACUGUCUUGUGCCUAGGGAGUGUUUACCAUUUGUGAGGCAGCUUUGUCUGCUCUUGCACUGUACAUCUUAUUACUCCAUUGGGAAGUAGGUUCACUUUCCUCUGGCCUUUUGCCUAAGUUAGGCUUUGCUGAAUCACCCCUACUUUUCCUUUUAGAAAAGGUUGUUACAUGAGAUGUACUUGCAACAGUUCUUUCCCAUCAAAAAUCAGUGAAUGUUUGCUGAAUAUAUUAAUGCUGCUUCCUUAAACCACUUGUCGCUUUAGGAUCAACUUUACCUGCACCUUUUAUCUGCCCCGUUCCCCCACCCCCCGCACCUCAGGUGCAAGCAUCUGCUUCUUUUUCCGUCUCAUCUCCUCCCCUAUCCCACAUCAUCCAUGUGACUUUGUUUUAAAUGACUGCAUCAAUCUUAAAAGACAUCUAUCAAAACUAAGGAGAUUUUUUUUUAAUAGGAAGCUUGAAUAAGUUCCUUUCCCUGGUAACUUUGAAAAGCAGCCAGAGUUGCUAUCUAGAUAUAUGUGGCUCCCUUAAAAUGUUUUGUGUAUGUGUGGUGUUUUAAAAAAAUCUUACCAGUUAACUGCAGUAUCUAGGUUUCAGUGUCAUAAAUCCCCUUGCAACAUGCAUCCAAAAACUGUGUGCACUUCAUAACCAGCCCCCACCCAUGGAGGUACAGUGCUUUUUAGAAAUGCUUUCUAGUUUCAGUGUUGGCAUAUUACCUGAGGGUGUUGCAUUUGUGGGUGUGUUCCCUAAUUUGUAUGGAUCAAGGCAAACUGGUCUUUUCUACUUCCAAGCUUUUAACAGCUGUCUCUGUAUUUGACAGAAUUCCCUGAGUUAAGUGCUUUCAUUGUUAAUAGCUUCAGUGACCCCCCAGCUGGGAUAGGCAAGCCAUAUUGUAUGACAGCUUCCCUAUUUCACCUACGUAAGUCUUUCUGUCAGAGGGCUCUAUUCAUGGUAAGCACCAGGGUCUCCCUGUCUUAGGACGGAAUUAUGUUGUCUUUUGAAAAGUGCAUGCUUCAUUUGGACAAUUCAUUGAGCAGUAAGUAGAUGGACUAUAAAUGACUUAGAAUAAAUUUUGAUCCAGAGCUCAGAAUACAAACCACAGUGGUAAAAUUGAGUAGCAUAUAAUUAAUCAUGACUAAAUUCUGUAUAAUUUGCUGCGACCCAGAUUGUAUGUGUUUUAUGUGUGUUUAAAUAAAUAUAUUAAAUACACAUGUGUAUACAUACACACAUAUAUAACAGAUCCAAGACUGACUGACUUGAUUUGAAAUGGUUGAAUCUGCAGUGUAAAAUGUAGUUCAGCCACGAUUAAUUGAAAUUUAGUACAAGAGAGAAAAGAACUUGAUGUAACAUGCUGUUAGCUACAAAUCCCAGCCAGUAUAGAGCACUUGGGGGAUGGGAGGGGGUGGGUUGGUGAGACAAUCAGAUCGGUAAAUUGAUUAAAUGCUCCUAACCCUGUAAUUUUGUGCAUAGAGCACCCUGUGCUGUGGAAAUAACUGUUCUUAGAUUUUCAUUGUAACUGGACUGUUCAGGUUGCCCAGAGGGAAAGAACAUUCCUAAUUCUAAUAAAAUAAACUUUUAUUUUGUUAUUCCA